AUAAAAACAUGGACCACGUUUUCUAUAAAAUACAUUUAAAAAGAGACAAAACUAAAGGAUAUUCUAAUGAACAAGAAAAAUCCAUGCAUUAAUUAUGCAAGAGAUCCAUCCAUUUUAACGUCAGAAAAUGAUGCAGCAGUUUUAUCUCUAAAAAUAUAAUAUUAUUAAAAACAUUUCAAGCAGAAACCAUGGAAUACAGAAUAGGUAAUUCAAUACUAAAAGUAGAUGAAGCAGUUAAUUAUCCAGUUCCAGUAUAAUUUCUUAAUUCACUCAAUCCUCUAGAUUUCCACCACAUUUCCUAACUUAAAAAAUUGAUACUCCAAUAAUGCUUUUAAGAAAAAUGUGUCAACCUAAGUUGUGCAGAAGAUACUCGAGUGUGCUACCCUUUAAGAGGCAAAAUCAAUUUUAUUUAGACAGUUCUCUUGAAACCAUGCUAUAGUAAUUACGUUGUUGUGUGAGAAGAUCAGUUGGAGAUAAAAAAUAUGUCAGAUACAUACUUCGGCAAAUGAAACAAAUAUCCCAAUGGCUAUAGAAAACUAAGCGACUAAGUUUGACAGUUGUAAAUGCCAGUUGGAGAGUAAAAGAAUGCCAUUAGUUUCUCUAAAUAAACAUCUAAACAUCAAUUUACCAACAUCGACAGAAAUUUCACCAAUACUACUGUCAUUGUUUUCACAACCUAAAUCUGACGUACAGAAUAAGGUACAAAAGAAACAUGUAAAGAUUCUACUUAUAAUUUCGUAUUUAUCCAUUCGUUGUGUACCUCUACGAGCCAUGAGACUUUUAAAUUAAUAGAAUGUUACGGUAUGACAAAGUGACANAACUGAGAGAUAACGGCGCAUGACCGGAAAACGACAAUAAGAAC